rnacentral:lncRNA from 1 species
GGUUUAAUUUGCAGUUUUGCUUGCUUGUGUUGCUGCUGUGCCUUGGACGCUUGCUUCUGAACACACAUACGCACGGUUGAUCGUUUGAUUUUGGGGAUUCUUUUUUAUUUCCAUUAUUAUAUUACAUGUAUAAAUAAUAAUGAAAACAGUUCAGAUUGUAUUAGGUCCCAGUCCUAUGUAGCUAACAAUUACAAUUGUUAGAAGUAAUAUUUUCUGCUUAUGGGGAGAAAUAUCCUAAGUGUUUUUGUUGUUUGAAUACUCUCCUCUUUUAUUCAUAUUAUUGGACGGGUGGGCACCCAAGAUGGGCCGAGCCGACCCGACUCACACAUGAUAACCACUUGUUGGUUACCAUAAGCAUUUGGGGGAGGGAAGUUGAUUUGUGUUCAACUUCCCAACUUCUACAUAUACAUGCCAUCAAAAUCAUUGCAAUGGAGAUGUGGUUUACUUCUUUAUUCAUUAAAAAGAAAAACAAGAUCUUUGAACAAUCCGUAAAAGGAAAAUAUAUUGUGGCUUGAGAAAGAUUUCCGCUCGUAAUUUCUUUUCGACCAGUGAUGUGAUCCAACACAUAUUUAUUCCGCUGCAUAAUUUGAAAAAAGUAAGGCCUAUUGAUUUUUUUUUUAAGAAUUUCUUCAUUGGUAUUAGAGCCUGAAUUGUGUUGGAUUCGUGCAUUUGUUGGAUUUAAUUCAUGAAAAGCUUGAUUUUUUUUUAAUUUUUGUGAUGUUGUUGUUUUAAGUGUUCUGGAAUGUUUAAUAUGAAUGGAUUAAUUUUGAAAUUGAUAUUAUUAAAACUAGCCUAAGGUUAAGAUUGCAUGAACCCUAAAUAUAUAUGAAACCCGAAACUUCAAUGGAUCAUAUCUUUUGAUUUAGGACACCUGACAAUAUGUGUGAUAUAUCAUUGGAAAGAUCUUUUUGAGAGCUUUCCAACGGUAUGUGAUUUGUUAAAAACGGACUUAAUACGAGAAAUUUAUGACCAAAAUAUGAUUAUGGUAGGAUUAGGAUUUGGAAAGGGUUAAAAACUUUAAUUUGGACAAGAUGAUGAACAGUGCCAGAGUUAGUUUUUUUGACGGUUUCAGCCUAUUCCGACCUCCGUUUGAAAAUCCGAAUGUUCCAUUGAAUUCAUAAUGAAGAUCCAAUGUGCUCGUUAGUGCCGUGACUGGCAGUGCCUCUGGUUGCACUAAAAAAUUCAGCCAAUUUGCUCAUGGUGUCCUCCAGACACUACAGCUUGUCAUUGAUUCCAAUUUUCAUUUGUUCCAUCUUGUUUUGGAAGCUCCCAAUAUCAGCUUCAAUUUGUUCGAUGCGCUUCUUGUUGGUCGUCAUUGAUAGCUAGCUCUUAUACCAAUGUUAGGUCCCAGCCAAAUGUAGCUAACAAUUACAAUUGUUAGAAGUAAUAUUUUUUACUUAUGGUGAGAAGUAAUACUCUUCCCCUUUAUUCAUAUCUCUGGAGCUUAUUUAUAACAAAAGACUUUGAUUUCCAACCCAAUAUCUUAGCUGGAAUCAAUCAACAAAUAUCAAACUAACAACUUGACUAAUAUUUCGAACUGAAAAAUAAAUCAAAAGCAAACUUCCAAGAUUUGGAUCCCCCCUCAAUCUCUGCACGAUCUCUCACAAAGUAAACCCAAAAUCAUGGCUCCGAUUUGGCAUUCACACAUUAACCUCACGUGAGACUUCAUGCAUGGCUUUGGGAAUGGCUUUGCAUGGCACUCUUCACGUAGUGGACUUUGGGUUUGGCUUUGGUAGCCUAUCAGACCUUCGUGGCUCAUGACUCAGCACUCUAUCAGAUUGUUCCUUAGUUUGAUGAUAGGAACGCCACCAUGGCUUGAGUUAUUAUUUUUGUAUACCAUUCUGUCGACUUUUGAUGCACAUACUCUUGUUCUUGUACUUUUGCAUUUUAUUUAUUAUGUAUUUAAUUUUCUGCAGCGGCUGAUUAAUUAAUUUAUCUUUAAAUCAAUGCUUGAUCGCAGAUACAUUUAAUGUUUCUAUUUGAAUUUUUAUUUUUAUUUUAUAAUUUUUUUGUGAGUUUUGUGUAUGCGGUAAAAUCCUUUGUCUUUAUUCGAACAUUGAGAACAAGUACUUAAAACUCUUUCUAGUUUUCAUAUUUCGGAGAGGGGACUGGCUGUUGAUAAACUAAAUAAGUUAUUUUUCUCAUUAAAAAUUUUGUAUUUUAAAAUUAUUCUGAAAAGCUUUAAUAUUUUCGAUUAUAAGUUUAAAGUAAUUUUCACCUUUUUUUUUCAAGUGAGAUUAGUUGAUAUUGCAGGACUUUAAUUAGUUAAAUUAGCUGUCAUAUUUAAAAAAUAAUAAUGUUUAGUUUUUGAAUGAACACAUUUUGCUUUCAAACUUUGUAAAAUUAAAUAAUUUCUAAAAUCAAGCAUACCGCCUAUUAAAAAAAAGGGCAAAAUACCAAAAGCCCACCGAAGCCCACAAAGUUUUGGAUUACGUGCAAACUUAGGACAAAGACUAAUAAGGCCCAAAUUUUAAGUCUUCCAAAUCGUAACAAGCUUCUUUGUCAACUCAAUUUUUUAAAAAUAAAUUUCGAAAUUUGCUAACAAUUAUUUGGUUAAAUUUUAAAGUGUUUGAAAUUAUGAGAUUUUGUAAUUAUAUAUUUAAAAGUUAAUCAUCAAUUGGUAACACUUAUUAAUUCUAAUUGAUUGACACCAACUAAUAACAUAAUGUGACUGAUCUCAUAUAAAACUUUCUCGAUAUAUAAUUAUCGUGGACUACAUGUUUCUUGUUUCGAAAUCGGAGGCCAUUACUAAUUUACCCAAGUGGGGCUUUCCCCAGUGUUUUAAGCAAACGCCUAACACACAUGAUUUUUUAUCAUUAAAAAGAUAGAGAUUUGAGAUGAUGAAAUUGGAUGAUUUGGUGCAUCUAAUUCAUAAUAUGACAAGAUGAGAUUUCACUUACCAACAUAUUUGCUAGUCAAAUAUAAGAAAUUGCAAAACAAGUCGUGUUUUAUUAUAUUCGUUAAAAGCCUUUCAAUCAUGUAUCUGUUGGCCAAUUAAAUUACGCAAUUAACACCCUUUUCUUCAUCUUGUUCAAAAUCAGAUUCGCUGCUUUUACUUCAAAAAAAAACAAUAAAUGAAUCGCAGGUUUCUUUCUUAAACAAAUAAUUUUUUAUUUUUUAUUUUUUAUUUUUAUCUCGAGAGGGAGAGACCUUCCCCCUGGCCAAUAAGUCCGUUUCCACAAUUUGAGGAUGAUUUAUGAGUUUUCUUUAUUUUCGACACAAAAUUCAAUACGUUUGAAGAAAAAAAGAAAUGUGAGUUGGACAAAUUCAUUGGAAAAAAAUUUAGUCAAUUGUGUUAUAAAAUGUAUCUCUCCGACCGUUGUUUUCGUUGAUUUUAUUUGUUAAGUCAGUCUACAACACAAACCCUAAAAUGUUUCAAUCUCACCAAUUAUUUUUUCUAUAAAAUUUUUUUUAUUACAUUUAUAUGGCACUAUUUUUGUUAUACUUUCAAUUUUUUUUUUUUUGUCAGCACGUUACAAAAUACAAGAGCAUUUAACGUAGUUUAUGAACACCCAGGUUCUAAAUGGUUAAUAGAACAAGGACUGACGUUAAUUUAGGAAGUGAAAAUUUUCAUCUAUAUCCAAAUCUAAAAAAUAAUAAUAUAAAAUUAAAUAAAACACCUGUAACUUUAAGACAUACAUAUCCUCAAUGCUGGGAGUCGUAAUGAAAAGAAGAAGAAUUACAACAAAAUUGGGGACCAUAAUGGAAACUGGUAGAACCUACAAGGGCUAAUCUUAUCUUUCAAUUGAUUUUUGUGGAGCCAGAAACAAUUAAACCCGAACAGCAAAUAGCCAUAAAUGAAAGCACAAUUAAAUUGGAACUCUCCGCAGACCCACGAUUUAAUAUCUUUAGAUUGUAACGAUUCAACCCAAAAAAAUAUUCUAGUAAAAUAUUUCUUAAAAAAAUGCUUCUUCACGUCACAACGUUGAAAACAAGAACAAAAUUGUGGUCCACGUGUCAUUUCAAAGUAGGUUGCUGGCAUAAACAUCCGGCUCCAUCCCGGACAGAUGUUAUGUGAGUGGUUGGUACGCGUUUCCACUUUUUUGUUUCAGAUGCAACGACUCAUGCACUAAAAAAAAAAAAUAAAUAAAUUUACGUUUAAGUUUUAAAAAUUAAUAUCGAUUUAAAUAUGAAUCUAAUGUUAAACUCUUAUUCAGGCAUCGAUUGUACUCGGCAAAAUAAUAAUAAUAAUAAUUAAGAAGCAGAGGCCAGGCAGGCGGUUGUAGGGCUGCUGCUAUCUUAUAGUUUUAGAAGAAGGUUCUUUUCUUUCUUUAGAGUUGAUGCCGUGAGACGUUUUUUAUAUUAUUAUGAUAACUUUGGUUGCGGAUUCAAUUGAAAUAAUAAUUCUUCUUCGACGCGUACCGACCGCCCUCGCUAAACUCUCCUUCCAAGAAAUUAACAACAACCACUCCGCCAUUUUUCUUCUAUAAAUACAUAUACUUCACACACAUUUACAUAUUUACACCCACUCUCGUCGACAUCAUCAUCAUCAAUUAACAUAUCUCCAACUUCAGCUUCUUCUCCCACCUAACUUGUCAUUUUUCUUCCUUUGCCUUUGCCAGUCUUUUCUCUCUUCUAUCAACUGCAAGCAUGAGCUCCUACAAUCAGAAUCAGUCCUCAGGUAACUAAAUCAUCUGCAUAUCCUACUUCUCCUCCUGUUGUUACGUUCCCAAGUUUUUAAAUUGUGAAUUUUGAAUCUACAUGUUUUAUCUUAACUGGGUAAUUGUGUAUAUGUAGUAGCAUACCCCCCACCACCACCGUCUACAACGGCGGGUCUGUACGUGGCGGCGCCACCACCGGCAGGUUAUCCAACGAAAGACGGCGAUCAUGGUUACGCUCAAAAUGCCCCCGUAGAAACCAAGUCCAGAGGUGAUGGCUUCUGGAAAGGAUGGUAUGCAAUCUUUAUGUGUUUCACCUCACCUUAUGUUAAUUAUUCGUAUAUAUGUAUAUACACACGCACAUCUAUCAUAUGUGUAGUGACUGAUUUGGUCGGUUUAAUUUGCAGUUGUGCUGGCUUGUGUUGCUGCUGUGCCUUGGACGCCUGCUUCUGAACACACAUACGCACGGUUGAUCGUUUGAUUUUGGGGAUUCUUUUUUAUUUCCAUUAUUAUAUUACGUGUAUAAAUAAUAAUAAUAAAAACAGUUCAGAUUGUUCCUUAGUUUGAUGAUAGGAACGCCCCCGUGGCUUGAGUUAUUAUUUUUGUAUACCAUUCUGUAGCCUUUUGAUACACAUACUCUUAUUUUUGUAUACCAUUCUGUAGACUUUUGAUACACAUACUCUUGUUCUUGUACUUUGAAUUUUAUUUACUAUGUAUUUAAUUCUCUGCAGUGGCUGAUUAAUUUAUCUUUAAAUCAAUGCUUGAUUGUAGAUACAUUUUCAAUACAAAAUAAGAACGAGUUGGUUUGGGGCCAACACAAACGCAUACAUACAUGCAAUCACAUGGAAAGCACGUUCAUAACAAGAAUGAAAAUAUCAUGAUUUUAACAUAUUUUUCAAAAACAUAUUUUUGGAUUUAUCCUAUGAAUAAUCAAAAGUCUAUCACAAUCUUUUAAAUCAGCAUUAUAAACCAUCAACUUAAAAAAGAAGGAGCAACCAACAUAAUUUUUGUAACAACGUUGUUUUAGUAAAAUUUAAUUUCAUUACGAAAAGUUCACUUCGUCUGGUCAACUAUAACAAAGAUAGAAAUACAAGCUCAUUCUUUAGCAUUGAUGCCGUGUGCUUUUGAGUCAGAGGAAUGAUUUUCAAUUGAGUGCUAACUGCUUCGAGAGAAAAUAACUCGUUCUCCGCUGGUGUAAAGACUAAAGAGAUGCCCGAUUUGGUGUACUUUCCAACCUUUUGAAUCCGAACACAAAAUUCCAAACAAAACUGUCAAAGCUGACCUUUGCGAAAGAAACGAAAUGACACCUGCACCCAUCAAGUGAAAAUAGUUUAUUUGAUGCGAUUUAUAGGAUAAUUUAUUUCAUUAUUUCUACUGUACCGACUAAAUAAUCUGGUAGAUAUCACAACACUUUAAUCAUAAAUUUUUUUAAAGAGUGGUAUCAAAUAAUUAGUUAGACUACAUUUUAAUUUGUUAAAAGUCUUCUUUAAGUCCUAUUUGUUAUUGAGAUACUGUAACUUUUAAGAUACAUCUCUUAUUGGGAAAAAAAAUCUUGUAGUUAUAAAAUAAAAAUUAAUAGUAUGUAGUAAAUGUAAUUAUUAAAUAAUAAUUUUAACAAAAUUAGUAAAGAUAUUAAUAGAUUUUUCAUUAUAUAAGUGUAAAAUUAUAAGUGUAAAAUCAAAUUAAUUCAACUUCUAAUCUACAAUAACUAGUAUUUAUUAAAUGGGAAAAGGACAAACACACCCCCAACGUUUAGACAAAGGGACAAAAAUCCUCCUAACGUUUCAAAAAAGACAUUUACACCCCUAUUCACUAACGGAAACAGUAACGUUUAACUGAAAUUACCGUUAUACCCUUCUAGCAUAUAAAAAAGAUUAUUGAUUAUCCAAUUUUUUGCAUUUAACGUAGUUUAUGAACACCCAGGUUCUAAAUGGUUAAUAGAACAAGGACUGACGUUAAUUUAGGAAGUGAAAAUUUUCAUCUAUAUCCAAAUCUAAAAAAUAAUAAUAUAAAAUUAAAUAAAACACCUGUAACUUUAAGACAUACAUAUCCUCAAUGCUGGGAGUCGUAAUGAAAAGAAGAAGAAUUACAACAAAAUUGGGGACCAUAAUGGAAACUGGUAGAACCUACAAGGGCUAAUCUUAUCUUUCAAUUGAUUUUUGUGGAGCCAGAAACAAUUAAACCCGAACAGCAAAUAGCCAUAAAUGAAAGCACAAUUAAAUUGGAACUCUCCGCAGACCCACGAUUUAAUAUCUUUAGAUUGUAACGAUUCAACCCAAAAAAAUAUUCUAGUAAAAUAUUUCUUAAAAAAAUGCUUCUUCACGUCACAACGUUGAAAACAAGAACAAAAUUGUGGUCCACGUGUCAUUUCAAAGUAGGUUGCUGGCAUAAACAUCCGGCUCCAUCCCGGACAGAUGUUAUGUGAGUGGUUGGUACGCGUUUCCACUUUUUUGUUUCAGAUGCAACGACUCAUGCACUAAAAAAAAAAAAUAAAUAAAUUUACGUUUAAGUUUUAAAAAUUAAUAUCGAUUUAAAUAUGAAUCUAAUGUUAAACUCUUAUUCAGGCAUCGAUUGUACUCGGCAAAAUAAUAAUAAUAAUAAUUAAGAAGCAGAGGCCAGGCAGGCGGUUGUAGGGCUGCUGCUAUCUUAUAGUUUUAGAAGAAGGUUCUUUUCUUUCUUUAGAGUUGAUGCCGUGAGACGUUUUUUAUAUUAUUAUGAUAACUUUGGUUGCGGAUUCAAUUGAAAUAAUAAUUCUUCUUCGACGCGUACCGACCGCCCUCGCUAAACUCUCCUUCCAAGAAAUUAACAACAACCACUCCGCCAUUUUUCUUCUAUAAAUACAUAUACUUCACACACAUUUACAUAUUUACACCCACUCUCGUCGACAUCAUCAUCAUCAAUUAACAUAUCUCCAACUUCAGCUUCUUCUCCCACCUAACUUGUCAUUUUUCUUCCUUUGCCUUUGCCAGUCUUUUCUCUCUUCUAUCAACUGCAAGCAUGAGCUCCUACAAUCAGAAUCAGUCCUCAGGUAACUAAAUCAUCUGCAUAUCCUACUUCUCCUCCUGUUGUUACGUUCCCAAGUUUUUAAAUUGUGAAUUUUGAAUCUACAUGUUUUAUCUUAACUGGGUAAUUGUGUAUAUGUAGUAGCAUACCCCCCACCACCACCGUCUACAACGGCGGGUCUGUACGUGGCGGCGCCACCACCGGCAGGUUAUCCAACGAAAGACGGCGAUCAUGGUUACGCUCAAAAUGCCCCCGUAGAAACCAAGUCCAGAGGUGAUGGCUUCUGGAAAGGAUGGUAUGCAAUCUUUAUGUGUUUCACCUCACCUUAUGUUAAUUAUUCGUAUAUAUGUAUAUACACACGCACAUCUAUCAUAUGUGUAGUGACUGAUUUGGUCGGUUUAAUUUGCAGUUGUGCUGGCUUGUGUUGCUGCUGUGCCUUGGACGCCUGCUUCUGAACACACAUACGCACGGUUGAUCGUUUGAUUUUGGGGAUUCUUUUUUAUUUCCAUUAUUAUAUUACGUGUAUAAAUAAUAAUAAUAAAAACAGUUCAGAUUGUUCCUUAGUUUGAUGAUAGGAACGCCCCCGUGGCUUGAGUUAUUAUUUUUGUAUACCAUUCUGUAGCCUUUUGAUACACAUACUCUUAUUUUUGUAUACCAUUCUGUAGACUUUUGAUACACAUACUCUUGUUCUUGUACUUUGAAUUUUAUUUACUAUGUAUUUAAUUCUCUGCAGUGGCUGAUUAAUUUAUCUUUAAAUCAAUGCUUGAUUGUAGAUACAUUUUCAAUACAAAAUAAGAACGAGUUGGUUUGGGGCCAACACAAACGCAUACAUACAUGCAAUCACAUGGAAAGCACGUUCAUAACAAGAAUGAAAAUAUCAUGAUUUUAACAUAUUUUUCAAAAACAUAUUUUUGGAUUUAUCCUAUGAAUAAUCAAAAGUCUAUCACAAUCUUUUAAAUCAGCAUUAUAAACCAUCAACUUAAAAAAGAAGGAGCAACCAACAUAAUUUUUGUAACAACGUUGUUUUAGUAAAAUUUAAUUUCAUUACGAAAAGUUCACUUCGUCUGGUCAACUAUAACAAAGAUAGAAAUACAAGCUCAUUCUUUAGCAUUGAUGCCGUGUGCUUUUGAGUCAGAGGAAUGAUUUUCAAUUGAGUGCUAACUGCUUCGAGAGAAAAUAACUCGUUCUCCGCUGGUGUAAAGACUAAAGAGAUGCCCGAUUUGGUGUACUUUCCAACCUUUUGAAUCCGAACACAAAAUUCCAAACAAAACUGUCAAAGCUGACCUUUGCGAAAGAAACGAAAUGACACCUGCACCCAUCAAGUGAAAAUAGUUUAUUUGAUGCGAUUUAUAGGAUAAUUUAUUUCAUUAUUUCUACUGUACCGACUAAAUAAUCUGGUAGAUAUCACAACACUUUAAUCAUAAAUUUUUUUAAAGAGUGGUAUCAAAUAAUUAGUUAGACUACAUUUUAAUUUGUUAAAAGUCUUCUUUAAGUCCUAUUUGUUAUUGAGAUACUGUAACUUUUAAGAUACAUCUCUUAUUGGGAAAA